rnacentral:rRNA from 1 species
CCUACGGGUGGCAGCAGUGAGGAAUAUUGGUCAAUGGCCGGAAGGCUGAACCAGCCAAGCCGCGUGAGGGAGGAAGGCGCAGAGCGUCGCAGACCUCUUUUGCCGGGGGACAAAAGGCCGGACUCGUCCGGUCCUGAGGGUACCCGGAGAAAAAGCAUCGGCUAACUCCGUGCCAGCAGCCGCGGUAAUACUGAGGAUGCGAACGGUAUCCGGAGUCAUUGGGUUUAAAGGGGGCGCAGGCGGGCCUUUAACCCGGCGGUGAACUGGCGGGGCUCAACCCCGCCGUGCCGUCGGCACUGGGGGCCUUGAGGGCGGCGGAGGCAUGCGGAAUGCGCGGUGUAGCGGUGAAAUGCAUAGAUAUCGCGCAGAACCCCGAUUGCGAAGGCAGCGGGCCGUGCCGCCACUGACGCUGAGGCACGAAAGCGCGGGGAUCGAACAGGAUUAGAUACCCCUGUAGUC